GCGUUGUAUUGAGAAUACUACUAACUUGGGAUUGUUGGUUUUGCUGCACAGAGAAAGGAUGUUCUUUAGCUCCACGGAUGGUUGAAUCAAGAUUCAUGGAACUUCUCAAUCAUUCUGUUUUACUUUAAAGAAGUGAUAUUAUGAUUUUACUACAAAAUAAUUACCUCACUGUGUUACAUGGGGAUUGAGCUUGUUAUACGCUAUGGAAAACAAAGGCCACAAAGCUUCAGUUUCCACUCAAGUUGAUGGGAUGAAGCAUGGUAUGAGUGUAAUCAUAAGAAAUGCAAAGAUAGAUAUGAAUAAGGAAGCAUGAGGCGAGGUUGACAAAUGAGGUUGCUAAGAGGUCACCAAACCUGUUUAGUUUUAAGUCAUGAAGGACAAUA